rnacentral:rRNA from 1 species
UUGCCAUGGGGGAACCCUGAUGCAGCCAUGCCGCGUGUGUGAAGAAGGCCUUCGGGUUGUAAAGCACUUUCAGCGAGGAGGAAAGGUUGGUAGCUAAUAACUGCCAGCUGUGACGUUACUCGCAGAAGAAGCACCGGCUAACUCCGUGCCAGCAGCCGCGGUAAUACGGAGGGUGCAAGCGUUAAUCGGAAUUACUGGGCGUAAAGCGCACGCAGGCGGUUGGAUAAGUUAGAUGUGAAAGCCCCGGGCUCAACCUGGGAAUUGCAUUUAAAACUGUCCAGCUAGAGUCUUGUAGAGGGGGGUAGAAUUCC